rnacentral:lncRNA from 1 species
GAAAAAAGGUCUGGAAUUGGCAGUGGGGAAUAAGCAGGACACCUACCUCAUCUCUAGGCUCCUUUGGAGCCUAUGAGGUUGGUCCUAUUUUUACUCUCACUUAUCCCUACUUACCAGAUGAGGAUCCUGAGGCUCAGAAAAACUCUUGACAAAAUUCUCAGGGAAAACUCUUCAGCUCUGGAUGUCUCCCUUUUUGUGGAUCAAACACAAAGGGCAUCAUUCUAAAAUAUAUACAGAACCAUAAAAGCCCCAAAUAGCCAAAGCAACCCUGAGCAAAAAGAACAAGGCUGGAAGCAUCACACUACCAGACUUCAAAAUUUACUACAAAGCUCUAAUACCUAAAAUAACAUGGUACUGGCAUUAAAAAAAAAAAAAAAAUAGGCACAUAGACCACCAAUGAAACAGUAUAGAGAAUCUAGAUAUACCAACUCAUCUUUAACAAAGGUGC